rnacentral:lncRNA from 1 species
CCUGCAAGGAACUUCCCACACAAAGCCCUGUGCUGUGAUAACAGAAGGGAGCCGGCAAGCAGCCCGAGAAGACUGCCUGGCAAAAGCUAGCAGGACUUAAGAAAAACAGCCAGGGAGCUCGCUCCUUUUGUGUUUGGCUUCGCUGCUAUUGACCAGUUGUGUGAGAGUAACCGAUGGCGGAGAGGAAGGAGACAGGAACCUGGCCAAGAUCCCGAGCCAAGGCGUCCCAGGCAUGUUCCAUGUUGAGAUGGGUCCUGAGUGCCAAGUGACACGAUGUUUACUGAUAGAAGAAAGCAAAUGAUGUGUAAUGGAGCUUCCUUCCUUCCUUCCUUCCUUCCUUCCUUCCUUCUUUCUUUCUUUCUUUCUUUCUUUCUUUCUUUCUUUCUUUCUCUCUCUUUCUUUCUCUCUUUCUCUCCCUUCCUUCCCUUCCUUUCUUCCUUUCUCUCUCUUUUCUCUCUCUUUCUCUUUCUUUCUUUCUUUCUUUCUUUCUUUCUUUCUUUCUUUCUUUCUUUCUUUCUUUCUUUCUUUCUUCCUCCUUCCUUCCUUCCUUCCUUCCUUCCUUCCUUCCUUCCUUCCUUCCUUCCUUCCUUCCUUUCUUCUUCUUCUUCUCUCUCUCUCUCUCUCUCUCUCUCUCUUUCUUUCUUUCUUUCUAAACGUUUUUCAUUUUUAUGUGCAUUGGUGUUUUGCCUGUAAGUAUGUCUGUCUGAAGGUGUUGUAUUCCUUGGAACUGGAGUUACUGACAGGUGUGAGCUGUGGGUGCUUGGAAUUGAACGGGGGUCAUCUGGAAGAGUAGCCAGUGAUCUUAACCUCUGAGCCAUCUAUCUCUCCAGCCUGCAUAAUAGAAUUUAAAGGUGAAUCCCACCAGGAAGUCCCCAGAAAUUGGUGGGUUUGUUGAUGAUUGAGCUCCAAUUUUUGCACCCAGGUGUUCGGCAAAGAACAUAAGGCAGUGGAGGCUUCUGAGUUGACAGGGAUCUCUGUAACUUUGGCUUGGAGGAUGUCAUCUCAAGUUAGAUGAAUCAAGAAUAGAAGGAACAGUGUUUGAAGAGCUACUGUGUUACACAGAAGUGACUAGACGUGUUACAUUGUGUUAAAUUGAACUACUAGACUUUCUAAGAGAGACUAAAAGGGUGGUAGCCAUGACUGGUGUAACAACAUUCCCUCAGUUAGUGAGAUAUCUCUGUGACUGAGGCAUCAGUCUAAGCACUCAGAAGGAAUGGUUUUAUUUCUGCCUCAUCCAUUUCCCCAAAGGACAGAUAUUGGUUAUUCUUUCUGUUGCUCAUAGAAAACAUCCUGACUGAAAGCAUUUGGGGAGGAAGUUUCUUCCAGGUUACACCCUCAGGUGAUGUUCAUCAUUGAGAGAAUUCAUGGUAGGGACUGAAGCAGAGACCAUGGUGGAUGCUGCUCACUGGCUUGCUCUCUGAUUUAUGCUCGGUCUGAGUUCUUACCCUACCCAGGUUUAUUCGCCUAGGCAUGGUACCUCCUACAAGGAGUUUGGCCUUCCCCAUCAACAAUUGACACAAUUCCUUACAGACAUGGUUUCAGGACACUCCAAUAUGGGCGAUUCUCCGACUCAGAGUCCUUCAGACGACUCUGGGCUGUGUCAAGUUGACAGUUGAAGCUAACUCGGAUACAAGUUUUGCUGUGAUAUCAAUUGCACAAAGGAUGAAAUACAGGCAAAGGACACCUAGAAGGAGAAGUAGCAUGCUGGAAUUGUGACCCCUUCCUACCCCAGAGUUUUGAGCCCCAUGACCCCUCUGUUUACAAACUCCACAACACGCCACAGAGAAAUCCAGUCUUGGUGACACCGAGGCCCAGAAGUAAAGCUAGGGUUAAAAGCUUGCAAGGUGGAGGUUCAUGUAAGGCUGGGUGUGGCCUGUCUGGCUCUCUUUCUGUGGCCCCCGUGGAGGCGGGGCCAUCUGGCAGAAGCAGGAAUGAUUGGCUGGCUUCUGCUUGGCAACACCCAAGAGCAGUCUGAGAAUGAUGCUGCUGAGAGCAGAGCCCCUGGUUACUGCUCUAAACAGAGGUGAAGGUCAUGGCUGGUUUGAUUGGUCAGCUAUUCAUGAGAGUGAAUGGGUAUGCAUGGAACAAUCUAGAAAAUGGUUCCCCUGGUGAUAGAGGUCUAACUGGAGGUGCAUUUCCAUAACUUGUCAACUUGAACAGGGAAUUUAGCACAAGAAGAAGGGGCGAGUGAGGAGAACUUAGCGGACAGGACCAACAGGAAGCUAGUGUCGCCAGCUAUUUCCAUCAGCCCAUGCUUCCCCCUGGAAGCCUUCCAAGCAUUUUGGGAUGAGGACCUAGGGACUCAGUUGGUUUGGAGGACCUUUCUAGAGAUUUCCACUAGUCUUCCUCCUCUGAACCCCCGCGGGCAAAUCACGUGUUAUUUCUAAAUCUGUCUCAUUUCUAUGUAGAGUGAAGAUGUGGUUUGCCUCAGAGCUCUCUCAGAGGCUGUUGGUCCUGCUGUGUGCAGCUCUCCUUUCUACUGCCUGGAGGAUGUGUUUGGAAGGGAGAAACAGCUGUGCUUUCUGGGUCCCCGUCCUGAAUCCUUGAGGGAGGUUUUGAGUGGAAUAGACUUUGAUAACUCUUGGAAUUGUGCUUCAGACCCGUUUGUCUCUGAGUGAACAACAGAGGUCGAAAGGGAAUCUCUGAUGGGAGCCACUGUCCUCUGUGGGUGUGGUCCCUUCCUUCCAUACACACUUCUUCUGACUUGGCUGAAAUUUGAAGGACUAGGAAAUGUGUGGGUGUCUGGCUAGAGGCUAGAGGAUAUGGAAGGUGAGUUCUCGCUGUAAGCCCUGGUGUCGUUGGCUAAGGCCAUCUUGCUUUAAUGGUUUAUCGUGCUCAGCUAUGAGGACAACCCACUGGGUGCUCCAGUGGGUGAAUAAGGGACAGUGAGAGCGUGGAACGCACGGUGUAUGCACAGGACACUUGCCAAGGUUUGUGGUGCUUGACAAGCUCAAGCUGUGUGUAUCUGGUCCGCAGGAAACUGGGCAGGGUGCGCCGAUGUUGAACUUAGCAGCUAUGAAAGAUGUGUCUCACAGGAGCCUGCCAACCCCUCAGCAACCACACUUGUCCAGAGCGGCAGCCAGGGAGGCCACAGCUGCUGUGUGUGGUACUCUGGAUUUUUACACAAGUCUCUGGUUUCUGGAAUCUUCCAGGUCUAACUCUGGAAGACUCUGGAUCCUGCACUAACUUGCAGACACCACAGAGGAAUGUAGGCUGGGCUCAGGGUCAGGAGAUGAAUCAGACUUGGCUGUAUGUACUUGCUUAAGUAUAUUCUUUA